AUACGGAGGGUGCAAGCGUUAUUCGGAAUCACUGGGCGUAAAGGACGCGUAGGCGGGGAGCCAAGUCUGAUGUGAAAUCCUAUGGCUUAACCAUAGAACUGCAUUGGAAACUGGUUACCUAGAGUAUGGGAGGGGGAGAUGGAAUUAGUGGUGUAGGGGUAAAAUCCGUAGAUAUCACUAGGAAUACCGAAAGCGAAGGCGAUCUCCUGGAACAAUACUGACGCUAAGGCGUGAAAGCGUGGGGAGCAAACGGGAUUAGAUACCCCAGUAGUCC
rnacentral:rRNA from 1 species